UUUUUCAAAAUAAUGCAGAAAUACCAUAAAUUUUACAAAUUGUUGAUAAAAAAAUCAAGGAAUUUUGGAAAAAUGAUGAAGAAAUACCAUGAUUUUUAAAAUCCGGGACAAAAUUACCGGAUAUUUGGAAAUAAUCAGCAACAUAUAAAGCCUACUAGAUUUUUUGAAAUAUCCAGUACACACCAUAAUUUUCAGAAAUUUUAAAAAAUCCGGUAGAUGGUAAUGAAAUUAUGGAAAAACAUUUUUUUUUUUACAUUUUUAAGAAACUAUAUCAGAUAAAAUACGUACAUAUAAUGCAAAAGUGAUAUAAUAGCAUUAUAAAAUAAAUUAUGUCGACUUCUUAACUUCUUCUUCCCAAUGCCUAAUACGUUCCACAUAUGCUGAUUU
rnacentral:lncRNA from 1 species